UUUAACAAUGAAUCAAAUGAUAGGAAAAGAAUUAAUAAUUACUUAAAAUUUUUAAUAAGACGAACGGUCAAAUAUAUUUAAAAAAGUCAACGGCAUCAAAUAUUUAGGGAUGGAGGGAGUAUGAUUAAAACAAAUAAAGGUAUAUCAACUAAAGUAUUUUCCAAUGAAAACCAAAUGUGCAUAUGAUAAAAAAAACAUGUUUGCAUAGCAAAUCUUACUGACCAUAGCAAAUCUUACUGACCAUAGCAAAUCCCUAAAGUAUUUUACUGAGUACUGACCAUAGCAAAUCUUGUUUGCAUGGAUGAAUCACAUUCACAAUCCAAUGGCCUUGUCCUCUUGAUUGACUAUGUCUAAGCUCUUCCCCUUUUUAGUGUUUUUCUAUUUGGAUUCCAUGAAGGGCUAUUCUACUGCACAUGUCACACUUGAUGCCAGGUAUGUUCAAAUGUAGAAGAGAUUAAUUCUAGCAAUUUCGUUCUACAGUUGAUUGCAGAUUGUAAAGUUCAGUGAACCACCCUUUGACAUCAGAAACCUCUCACUAGUGUGUCUAUCUAAUCCGUUGAUGCUUUCUUUAGUUAGACAAACUAUGUGUGUUCUGAGUUAGAAUAUAAUAUCCUGGAUCUUCUGUGUUCUGUGCAUGUCUCUUUGUAUAUAUAUGCUUGGAGUCAUGCUGUAAUGAUCUUCAAUUUUGUCCAAGAUUACCACUAUCCAUGAGAACAUCUGCUAUUGCUUUAUUUGGAUUUUUUGGUGAUCGAUGAGAUUUUACUAUAUCCUAUACUGUUCAGAUAGCCUGAAAUUCUGAAAUCGUUUUCUUCAGGAGCUAUGUUAUUCCUGUUUAGUUUUUAUAUUAUGAGAAAUAUGUGGAUCAUUUAUACCCUGGGUUGAACUGCACUUAACUUCUCCUGAAGACCAUGUGUUGCCUCUAUAUUUCCAUCAUAUCUUGUGCCAUUGUUUGUUCUGAGGGCUGUAGUUAAACUCAUUUUUUUUUUCCUGUUGGACUGCUGUGUUUUCCCCUGAUUUUUCCAUGGUUAUGUGUUUAUAAUUUUACUCCUUUGACUUGACAUCUAUUUGUAGCACAAACGGAUAAGGAAUCAGAGUUGUACAUUUUAUUUUCUAGCAGUUAUCCAUGGGAUGGCAGCUGGGAGGCAUCUGACCCUGGCUGUGUUAGCAGAACAAUAUGAUCAUUAGCCAUUGAGAUGAUGUAGCAGGCAGUCAUAUGAGAUUUUUUUGGACCUCAAUGUUAGCAUGGCCCAUUUCCUGAUUAAUUGGACUGGUUGAUCUGCAAAGGUUGGUCUUGUUAGCUGAAGUGACACCAUAUGCAGCUUAUUACCUUGAUAAAAAUGGGAGCAAUGCUCUCAUGCGUUUUUGAGGGAAAAAAAGAGGAAGCAGUGUCAACGGAAACUGAUCCUUACUGCAGAGGUGCAUCAAUACUGAAAUGAGUCUUGUGCUACAGUUAAUUGUAGUAAAUCACUACAGCAGUAGCAAUGGUGUUUCCAGUGUAGUGCAGACAACUUCUGUUACUGUAGAAUUUCAACUGGAAAGUACACCUCUGAUCUGAUGUUCAGAAUUGAUCCUAAAACAUGACCCAAAAUUGAUGCCGACUCAAGUGAACUUGUCAAGAGUCUGCGUGACAAGUUGCUUCUGUAUUUAAAGUUGGUGAUGAUAAUGCCAAAAUUCUGGUGCAUGAAGGUUCUCUAACCCGUUGUUGGAUGGGUUUUAAGAAAAACAAGUUGUCAACCGAUUUUUAUUGUAAAUCAUUCUAGGAAACAUACUCCAAACUACUAUGAAUUUUCCUGGUUAUUUAUUUAAUCCGUGUGCCACUUUACGUAGAAAAUCAUGUGUUUGUGUAAACCUUAAAUUGACAUGUUGGCAAAUGUCAAUAUAGAAUUGUUUUUCAGAAUUUCGAGGUGUUGAAGACAUUUCAGUGAGGAAGGUUACAAUAUAACAUCGAGUAUAAGGUGGUUACAACGCAUA